GUUUCCUCUUUAAUUACAGUUGUCACCUGUUAUAACCUCAGGCAAUCUCGUUCACAGCUCUGAUUACAUUUCAUCCAUCCAUUCAUCCUUUCUAUCUGGCUGGCUGCCUAUCAUCCUAACAACAAUAAUUAAUCUCCUACUGGGAUUAAGGAUUUAUUAUGAUAAGCCAGAAUAAAGCAGGCUUUUCAAUCAUUUGUGGAGUGCUGUGGAUUCUCAUUUUAUUUGGGGCCAUUUUUCUCAACGGGGGCUCCAACACAACAGGAACAUUAGGCCUAUCUUUUCAAGACUAG
rnacentral:lncRNA from 1 species